ACUCCUACGGGAGGCAGCAGUGGGGAAUAUUGGACAAUGGGCGCAAGCCUGAUCCAGCAAUGCCGCGUGUGUGAAGAAGGCCUUUGGGUUGUAAAGCACUUUUAUCAGGAGCGAAAUACGAUGGGCUAAUACCCCGUCGGGCUGACGGUACCUGAGGAAUAAGCACCGGCUAACUUUGUGCCAGCAGCCGCGGUAAUACGAAGGGUGCAAGCGUUAAUCGGAAUUACUGGGCGUAAAGCGUGCGUAGGCGGUUUUUUAAGUCUGCUGUGAAAUCCCCGGGCUCAACCUGGGAAUGGCAGUGGAUACUGGAAAGCUAGAGUGUGAUAGAGGAUGGUGGAAUUCCCGGUGUAGCGGUGAAAUGCGUAGAGAUCGGGAGGAACAUCAGUGGCGAAGGCGGCCAUCUGGAUCAACACUGACGCUGAGGCACGAAAGCGUGGGGAGCAAACAGGAUUAGAAACCCCAGUAGUCC
rnacentral:rRNA from 1 species